UACGUAGGGUGCGAGCGUUGUCCGGAAUUAUUGGGCGUAAAGAGCUCGUAGGCGGUCUGUCGCGUCGGUCGUGAAAACUUGGGGCUUAACCCUGAGCUUGCGGUCGAUACGGGCAUGACUGGAGUUCGGUAGGGGAGACUGGAAUUCCUGGUGUAGCGGCGAAAUGCGCAGAUAUCAGGAGGAACACCGGUGGCGAAGGCGGGUCUCUGGGCAACAACUGACGCUGAGGAGCGAAAGCGCGGGGAGCGAACAGG
rnacentral:rRNA from 1 species